rnacentral:rRNA from 1 species
UAAGGAAUAUUGGACAAUGGAGGCAACUCUGAUCCAGCCAUGCCGCGUGAAGGAUUAAGGCCCUAUGGGUUGUAAACUUCUUUUAGACGGGACAAAACCCCUUUACGUGUAAAGGGUUGAUGGUACUGUCAGAAUAAGCAUCGGCUAACUUCGUGCCAGCAGCCGCGGUAAUACGAAGGAUGCAAGCGUUAUCCGGAAUUAUUGGGUUUAAAGGGUGCGUAGGCGGACUAAUAAGUCAGUGGUGAAAGCCUGCAGCUUAACUGCAGAAUUGCCGUUGAUACUGUUAGUCUUGAGUACAGUUGAGGUAGGCGGAAUGUGUCAUGUAGCGGUGAAAUGCUUAGAUAUGACACAGAACACCGAUUGCGAAGGCAGCUUGCUAAGCUGUAACUGACGCUGAGGCACGAAAGCGUGGGGAGCAAACAGGAUUAGAUACCCUGGUAGUCCACGCCCUAAACGAUGAUAACUCGCUGUUGGCGAUAUACUGUCAGCAGCCAAGCGAAAGCAUAAGUUAUCCC